rnacentral:tRNA from 1 species
GAGCUGUUGAUGUAAUUGGUAAACAUAUUCCUCAGACAAACGGGGUUAAUUUUUGAAGGUUCGAAUCCUUUAUAGCUCA